rnacentral:rRNA from 1 species
AGGACUUGACAUUGAUAGAAUCCUGAUGAAAGUCGGGAGUGCCCUUCGGGGAGCUUGAAAACAGGUGGUGCACGGUUGUCGUCAGCUCGUGUCGUGAGAUGUUGGGUUAAGUCCCGCAACGAGCGCAACCCUUGUCGUUAGUUGGUCAUAGCGGUAUACUUCUAUGUACCUCUCUAGCGAGACUGCCGGUGAUAAACCGGAGGAAGGUGAGGACGACGUCAAAUCAUCAUGCCCCUUACGUUCUGGGCUACACACGUGUUACAAUGGCCGGUACAACGAGCAGCGAACUCGCGAGGGUAAGCAAAUCUCUUAAACCCGGUCUCAGUUCGGAUUGCACUCUGCAACUCGAGUGCAUGAAGUCGGAAUCGCUAGUAAACGCAGAUCAGCACGCUGCGUUGAAUACGUUCCCGGGUC